rnacentral:lncRNA from 1 species
CCUACGUGGCUGGCCUGGGAGGAUCUUGAGUCCCCCCAGCCAUCUUGAGGUAUAUCGGGCUGGGGAGCACCAUCUGCUAAGGCUCAUAGGUGGAAGGAACUGGCCUGGAGUCUCAGAUGACACUUUGGACUUUGGACUUUUCAGCUGAUGCUGAUGACACCUGGAGAACUAGCCCUUGCCAGUGGCAACCACACCCCAGUCACCAAGUUCAUCUUGCAGGGAUUCUCCAAUUAUCCAGACCUCCAGGAGCUUCUCUUCGGAGCCAUCCUGCUCAUCUAUGCCAUAACAGUGGUGGGCAACUUGGGAAUGAUGGCACUCAUCUUCACAGACUCCCAUCUCCAAAGCCCAAUGUAUUUCUUCCUCAAUGUCCUCUCGUUUCUUGAUAUUUGUUACUCUUCUGUGGUCACACCUAAGCUCUUGGUCAACUUCCUGGUCUCUGACAAGUCCAUCUCUUUUGAGGGCUGUGUGGUCCAGCUCGCCUUCUUUGUAGUGCAUGUGACAGCUGAGAGCUUCCUGCUGGCCUCCAUGGCCUAUGACCGCUUCCUAGCCAUCUGUCAACCCCUCCAUUAUGGUUCUAUCAUGACCAGGGGGACCUGUCUCCAGCUGGUAGCUGUGUCCUAUGCAUUUGGUGGAGCCAACUCCGCUAUCCAGACUGGAAAUGUCUUUGCCCUGCCUUUCUGUGGGCCCAACUAGCUAACACACUACUACUGUGACAUACCACCCCUUCUCCACCUGGCUUGUGCCAACACAGCCACAGCAAGAGUGGUCCUCUAUGUCUUUUCUGCUCUGGUCACCCUUCUGCCUGCUGCAGUCAUUCUCACCUCCUACUGCUUGGUCUUGGUGGCCAUUGGGAGGAUGCGCUCAGUAGCAGGGAGGGAGAAGGACCUCUCCACUUGUGCCUCCCACUUUCUGGCCAUUGCCAUUUUCUAUGGCACCGUGGUUUUCACCUAUGUUCAGCCCCAUGGAUCUACUAACAAUACCAAUGGCCAAGUAGUGUCCGUCUUCUACACCAUCAUAAUUCCCAUGCUCAAUCCCUUCAUCUAUAGCCUCCGCAACAAGGAGGUGAAGGGCGCUCUGCAGAGGAAGCUUCAGGUCAACAUCUUUCCCGGCUGAGCCCUGCAAGGUGACUUGUUGGAAUGAGGAAGGUAUAACAUCUUCCAAAGCACACUAUGAAUUAACGUAACCAAUCAAGAGCAGCCCUGGUUUUGGAGGAGAUAGAAAAAGUAAAUGAGAAACAGCAAAUAUAUCUUGUACAGACCAUUACAGUUUAUAAAGCAUCUUCUUACCCAUUAUCAUAUCAAAUUCUCACCACCAUAUUGUGAGGCACCCUUUGUUACAAUGAUCCCAUUUUACAAAUGAAAGAUACAUGACUCAGAAAAAAUAAAUUAAUUACCUAAAGUCAUGCCAUGAGUGAGAGGGUGAGUAUCUAAAAUCAGGGAUUUCACAUCACGACCAGAGAUAGUUCAAUUACACCACGACCACAAGUUGAGUCUUUAUUGGCAGCUUAUUGUAACUUCCAAGAAACAUCAGACAAGGUGCAACACAGUCAUUUCUGUUUUGCCACUGAUUUCAUGAACUGGGAAUGGGCAACAAGUGACUUAGUUCUUUUUUCCUGCUCUAAAAGGAGAGAUAACCAGGAUAGAAAUGUCCUUAUUUCUUAUUGCAACCACAUUUUGCUGAACUGUUCCAUGAUAACCUCCGGAUCCAGACAGAUCUUUUCUUGUACGUCUGUAUCUUAGCCAAAUGUGUGUGUGUGUGUGUCUCAUAAUUCUCAAGGGUUUGGUGGCAGGGGGACGUGUAUGAUGAUUAGGCAGUUACAUCAUUAUAUUAGAUACUGUGCUUUGGGAAACUGAUGUUUUAAAUGUUUAUAUUUGGCCUAUUUUUAAGUGUACAUGUAUAUGGUGAGCACAUGUGUUUUAUAGAAUCACACAAAUGAUGAAGCUGACCUUGAAGACCUAAUUCAGGGUUGAGCACUGGAUUAGAAAGCAUACUCUUAAACCAAUGCAAAGUCCUAAUCUGAAUGGAGUUGGUUUCAGCCUGAGAUUUUUGGAUUACUAAAAAGCUUUUUUUUUUUUCAGAUAUACCUCAAGACAAUUAUUCUAAAUACAGAAAAUCUUACUAUACAAAUAGGUCUAUCAUAGCAGCACACGUGAAAAUGAAAAAUUGGUAAUGACCUAAAUGUUCAAAAGAGAAAAGGAUUAAAUAACUUAUUCCCUAGAUGUAUUAUAACAUCAACCAUUACAAAUUAUGCUUGUGAAGACUAUGUAAUAACAUAGAAAAUAGCAGGCCAGAACAUCUAGAGUGCAAUCACAAUAAUCUAACAGAAACAAGAAGCCUAAAAAUACAAAAAAUGUACAUUAUAGUAUUAAAGGAGGAAAAAUGUUUUUCUAUUUUUCUCAAACAUUUUCCAAAACUUUUUUAAUUAGUUUUUUGUUUGUUUGUUUGUUUGAGACGGAGUUUUGCUCUUUUUGCCCAGGCUGAAGUGCAAUGGCGUGAUCUCAGUUCACUGCAACCUCCGCCUCCUAGGUUCAAGUGAUUCUCCUGCAUCAGCCUCCCAAGUAGCUGAGAUUACAGGUGCAUGCCACCACACCUGGCUAAUUUUGUAUUUUUAGUAGAGAUGGGGUUUCACCAUGUUGGCCAGGCUGGUCUUGAACUCCUGACCUCAGAUGAUCCACCCACCUCGGCCUCCCAAAGUGCUGGGAUAACAGGCAUGAGCCAUGGCGCCCAGCCUAAUAAGCAUGUUUAAUUUUGAUACUUUGUUCUUGUUACUAGUGGUGAAUCCAUACAGCUCUGUAGCAAAUUUGAUCCUUGCCUCCUUGGAGGGAAAGAAUUCAGCUGAGGGGCAGAUGUAGGGUUAAGGAAGAGAGAGAGACUGAGGCAAGUUUUAGAGCAGGAGUGAAAGUUUAUGAAAAACUUUUAGAGCAGGAAUGAAAGGAAGUAAACUUCGAAGAGGGCCAAGUGGGCAACUUGAGAGAUCCAGGUGCCUUGAUCAACUCUUGACUUGGGGUUUUAUUACAUUGGCAUGGUUCUGGGUCUUCUUUUCUCCUCCUUUGAUUCUUCCCUUGGGGUGGGUCGUGCACAUGCUCAGUGGGCCGCCAGCACUUGGGAGGGGGGCCACAUGCGCAGUGUGUUUACUGAAGCUGUAGGCAUGCUCACUUGAGGCAUUUUUCCCUUGCCAGUUAAGUGUUCCUGGAAGAAAACCACACAGGCCGGGCACAGUGGCUCACGCCUGUAAUCCCAGCACUUUGGGAGGCCAAGGCAGGCGGAUCACAAGGUCAGGAGAUCGAGACCAUCCUGGCUAACACGGUGAAACCCCAUCUCUACUAAAAAUGCAAAAAAUUAGCCAGGUGCGGUGGUGGGGGCCUGUAGUCCCAGCUACUCGAGAGGCUGAGGCAGGAGAAUGGCGUGAACCUGGGAGGCGGAGCUUGCAGUGAGCCGAGAUAACGCCACUGCAGUCCGGCCUGGGCGAAAGAGCGAGACUCCGUCUCAAAAAAAAAAAAAAAAAAAAAGAAGACCACACAGCAAUUAAACUUCACCAUUUUACCUCUUAGCAUGCAUGCAUGAGCCCACUCACCCAACUCCUGACAUCUUAUGGGGAAGCUGCUGAUCAUCAGCUUCAGGUGUUUUUUGGGGGGGUAGGGGUUUAGGUUGUUUUGUUUUGUUUUGUUUUGAGAUGGAGUCUCACUCUGUCACCCAGGCUGGAGUGCAGUGGCACAAUCUCGACUCACUGCAACCUCCACCUCUUGGAUUCAAGCGAUUCUCUUGCCUCAGCCUCCUGAGUAGCUGGGAUUACAAGUGCACACCACCACACCUAGCUAAUUUUUGUAUUUUUAGUAGAGAAGGUGUUUCGCCAUGUUGGCCAGGCUGGUCUCAGACUCCUGACCUCAAAUGAUCAACCCACCUCGGCCUCCCAAAAUGUUGGGACUAUAGGUGUGAACCACGGUGCCGGGCCCACGUGUUUUCUAUUGGAAGACUGUCUCUCCCUGGCACUGGCUGCAACCAGUUAUUACUUUAGAGAGACAGUUUAACAACCCCCUGACCAUCACUUGAUGCUUGCCUGACAUUCCUGGAGGGGGGACCUGUCUUGCCCUGAUCAUGUCUGCCUAACUACCUACCUACCUACUACCUACAUUCUAAAAAUGAACAAUUUAAAAAUCCCUUCCAGGAAGCUGAGGGUGAAAAUUUCUCAUUUUUGUCUUCUUUCAUUCAGCAAAUCUUUACUAAAUUCCUCCUAUGCUCCACCUACUUUUAACUUAUAAACUAAAUUUUUAGUACAUUCAGUUGAAGUCAGGACUAGAAUCUUAUGGUAAAGAGAUUUAGUAAAAAUUAAUCUAAUUCAUUCAUCUCGAAAAUAUUUAUGUGGCAAUUAGGUGUAACACAAUGUGGUAGGCCCUAGCUUGACAGUCAGAACACCUAUUAGGCAGAUUGCUUAUGCCAUAGUAACAAACAAACCCCAAAUGUCAGUGACUUCAUACCACAAAGCUUUCCACCUAUGCUAAAUUUGAGACACAUCAGGUGACUCUCAGGGAAAUUUAUCCAUCCAGUGUCUCCACAUCUGAGCCCCUCUCAUCUUGCAAUCCUGCCAUCUCACCCUUUGACCUCCAAGAUCUUAAUGGUGGGGGAAAUGGUCAAGGUCACACAGCAUUUUUAAGCACCUGGCCUGAGGUUGGCUCACAUCACUUUGACCCGUGUAUCAUUGGCCUGAAACCAGUCUUACAGCUAAUAUAUGGCAAAGAAGGCUGGGAAAUGCAGUCCUUUUUUCACCCAGAGGAGGAAAAAGAAAUGAGAUUUAGUAAAUACAUAGCUUUGUGUGUCACUGGCCAACUGGACAUUUGAUUAGACCAUCAUCUGUAAGAAGUAGUAAAACAUCACUGGAAUAAAUCAGAAAUAAGGUACUGGUUAACUCAUGUUUCUACAUAAUUGAGGUAGACUGUUUCUUUGGGUGGACAUUUUAAAACACUCCUUGCCUGGACUGACCUAUCUCUGUUCAGCAUUUUUUGAAUCACAUGCCCAAGUUGUAUGGUGCCACUACAGGCAGUAAAACUAAUGAUGAGACCAGUCAUUUGAUGGCUGCCUGAAGCUUCACGUCACAGUUACCUCCUUGAAUUAUAAAACUAAAUAAUGUACAACAUAGUGGUAUCUACUAAGAGUGAUUUUAUCUAAGUUUAACCCCAUAAUCUAUCACCCAAGAAGUGGUACACACACAAACACAUACUCUCAUGAAGAAAGAAGAAACUACAAAACAAAAACGCAUUGGAAAGCAUGAAAGUCAGAUAAAAAUACAAAAGUUGAAUGUGCAUAUCAUGUGGCUCAACUGUACAAUUUUAGCUAGUAGACUAUAAGUUGCUAUCCACCUCAACUAUAUAAAUAUUGAAUAAAUACUUACAGGCUUUCAAUCUGAGAGUGAUAAAUUAUUAUCCUGCCCCAUCCACUGUUAUAUCUUCUAUGUCUAGAAUAAUACCUG